rnacentral:rRNA from 1 species
CCUACGGGUCGCUGCAGUGGGGAAUAUUGGACAAUGGGCGAAAGCCUGAUCCAGCCAUGCCGCGUGUGUGAAGAAGGCCUUCGGGUUGUAAAGCACUUUCAGUGGGGAAGAAAGCCUUGGGGCUAAUACCCUCGAGGAAGGACAUCACCCACAGAAGAAGCACCGGCUAACUCCGUGCCAGCAGCCGCGGUAAUACGGAGGGUGCGAGCGUUAAUCGGAAUUACUGGGCGUAAAGCGCGCGUAGGCGGUCUGAUAAGCCGGUUGUGAAAGCCCCGGGCUCAACCUGGGAACGGCAUCCGGAACUGUCAGGCUAGAGUGCAGGAGAGGAAGGUAGAAUUCCCGGUGUAGCGGUGACAUGCGUAGAGAUCGGGAGGAAUACCAGUGGCGAAGGCGGCCUUCUGGACUGACACUGACGCUGAGGUGCGAAAGCGUGGGUAGCAAACAGGAUUACAUACCCGAGUAGUC